CAGUAGCCGCGGUAAUACGAAGGGUGCAAGCGUUAAUCGGAAUUACUGGGCGUAAAGCGUGCGUAGGCGGUGAGUUAAGUCUGCUGUGAAAUCCCCGGGCUCAACCUGGGAAUGGCAGUGGAUACUGGCAAGCUAGAGUGUGUCAGAGGAUGGUGGAAUUCCCGGUGUAGCGGUGAAAUGCGUAGAGAUCGGGAGGAACAUCAGUGGCGAAGGCGGCCAUCUGGGACAACACUGACGCUGAGGCACGAAAGCGUGGGGAGCAAACAGGAUUAGAUACCCCUGUAGUCCCUGUCUCUUAUAC
rnacentral:rRNA from 1 species